GUGUUCUCAAUUUGCAUUGUUUGCUUUCUUUUUACUGCAUCUUUGCAUUUUUCUUUAUCUCCUUUCCAUCUACAUUUAGCAUUGCUACCUAUUAAAUGAGAUUGUAAUCUCAUUGUUACUUCCUGUUAGUUUGGAGAAGAGAAAGAAAAAUAUCACUCUGAGUUCUCAAAUUUUGUUGUUUAUCCUCUGCUCCCCCGGAAACGGGUUAUAAAACCAAAUAUUGGUUAUAAAAAAGAGCUAUCUUUUAGAACUUAGUGGCAGUAUAGGAGCAAAGAACACUGACUGUGACUGAGUUGAGGGGAUGAAAUUGCUCAGAUGCCUGAGGCGACAGACUGAGUUGACUAGAAUCAUCAUGAUUAUUCAAAUGAGAAUUAUCCAAAUGACCCAGAUUUCUUCCCUGCUGCAUCAUGACAAAUUGCUAGACAAUGACACCUCUACUGUCUGCAUUUCUGUGGGCAGACACAUUUGGAUACCCAUACAGGUAAGCUAUACAGAUUAAAUAAGUCAGUAACACAUAUCAAGACAAAAGUAUCUGAACUACAGUGCUUUUAGUGUAAUUUUCAAGAUUGUCAGUUACUGCAACUGUGUUGGUUACUUUUUCCUUUGUACUUCAUUGUCUUUAUGUUACAAAUUCAUCUUUAUACUGAAAAAUAUCAGAAUAAGAAAUCUAUUUGCAGUUAGCUGUUGUUGAUUUACCUGAGUCAUUUUGCUUUUCUGAAGUGUUUGUCUUGAACUAUGUACAGAC
rnacentral:lncRNA from 1 species